CCGAACGGGAUAAGAUGGUAGGA
rnacentral:siRNA from 1 species